rnacentral:rRNA from 1 species
CAGCAGCCGCGGUAAUACGAAGGGGGCUAGCGUUGUUCGGAUUUACUGGGCGUAAAGGGCGCGUAGGCGGACUGAUAAGUCAGGGGUGAAAUCCCAAGGCUCAACCUUGGAACUGCCUUUGAUACUGUUUGUCUUGAGUUCGAGAGAGGUAAGUGGAACUGCGAGUGUAGAGGUGAAAUUCGUAGAUAUUCGCAAGAACACCAGUGGCGAAGGCGGCUUACUGGCUCGAAACUGACGCUGAGGCGCGAAAGCGUGGGGAGCAAACAGGAUUAGAGACCCGCGUAGUCCAUGUCUCUUAUAC